GGAGGGGUGGCCGAGUGGUCGAAGGCGCACGCCUGGAACGCGUGUAUACGGGAAACCGUAUCGAGGGUUCGAAUCCCUCUCCCUCCGCCA
rnacentral:tRNA from 1 species